rnacentral:lncRNA from 1 species
UGCUUACUUUUUAAUUAAAUAUUUUUUUUUACAACAGUUUUAGAUUCUCAGCAAAAUGAGGAGGAAAGUGUAGAGAUAUCCUAUAUAUCUUCUGUCCCACACAUACAUAGCCUGAUAGCUCAUUUUCUUUUUGGCACUGAAAAAUGUUCCAUUACCUAAUGUACCACCAUUUUUAAAAAUUCCAAAUAUUUUCCAUUUCAUUCCAAUUUAUGAUAAGCAAAUUAGGUAAGAAAAAAAUUAAUGCACCCACCUAAAAUGCUUUAAACAAUUCUUUCUUUUUAAUUAUCUU